rnacentral:rRNA from 1 species
AGUGAACGCUGGCGGUAGGCCUAACACAUGCAAGUCGAACGGCAGCACAGUAAGAGCUUGCUCUUACGGGUGGCGAGUGGCGGACGGGUGAGGAAUACAUCGGAAUCUACUUUUUCGUGGGGGAUAACGUAGGGAGACUUACGCUAAUACCGCAUACGACCUACGGGUGAAAGCAGGGGAUCUUCGGACCUUGCGCGAUUGAAUGAGCCGAUGUCGGAUUAGCUAGUUGGCGGGGUAAAGGCCCACCAAGGCGACGAUCCGUAGCUGGUCUGAGAGGAUGAUCAGCCACACUGGAACUGAGACACGGUCCAGACUCCUACGGGAGGCAGCAGUGGGGAAUAUUGGACAAUGGGCGCAAGCCUGAUCCAGCCAUACCGCGUGGGUGAAGAAGGCCUUCGGGUUGUAAAACCCUUUUGUUGGGAAAGAAAAGCAGCAGGUUAAUACCCCGCUGUUCUGACGGUACCCAAAGAAUAAGCACCGGCUAACUUCGUG